rnacentral:rRNA from 1 species
UACGAAGGGGGCUAGCGUUGCUCGGAAUCACUGGGCUUAAAGGGCGCGUAGGCGGACUGCCAAGUCCGGGGUGAAAUCCCACGGCUCACCCGUGGAACUGCUGGGCAUACUGGCGAUCUUGGGCCAACUAGGGGCAACUGGAACAAGCGGUGGAGCGGUGAAAUGCGUAGAUAUCGCUUGGAACGCCAAAGGUGAAAACAGGUUGCUGGGGUUGUGCCGACGGCUGAGACACGAAAGCCAGGGGAGCAAACGGG